ACCAGACUCCUACGGGAGGCAGCAGUGGGGGAUAUUGCACAAUGGGGGGAACCCUGAUGCAGCGACGCCGCGUGGGUGAAGAAGCGCCUCGGCGCGUAAAGCCCUGUCAGCAGGGAAGAAAAUGACGGUACCUGAAGAAGAAGCCCCGGCUAACUACGUGCCAGCAGCCGCGGUAAUACGUAGGGGGCAAGCGUUAUCCGGAUUUACUGGGUGUAAAGGGGGCGCAGACGGCGAUGCAAGCCAGGAGUGAAAGCCCGGGGCCCAACCCCGGGACUGCUCUUGGAACUGCGUGGCUGGAGUGCAGGAGGGGCAGGCGGAAUUCCUGGUGUAGCGGUGAAAUGCGUAGAUAUCAGGAGGAACACCGGUGGCGAAGGCGGCCUGCUGGACUGCAACUGGCGUUGAGGCCCGAAAGCGUGGGGAGCAAACAGGAUUAGAUACCCGGGUA
rnacentral:rRNA from 1 species